rnacentral:rRNA from 1 species
AUGAACGCUGGCGGCGUGCCUAAUACAUGCAAGUCGAGCGAACAGACGAGGAGCUUGCUCCUCUGACGUUAGCGGCGGACGGGUGAGUAACACGUGGAUAACCUACCUAUAAGACUGGGAUAACUUCGGGAAACCGGAGCUAAUACCGGAUAAUAUAUUGAACCGCAUGGUUCAAUAGUGAAAGACGGUUUUGCUGUCACUUAUAGAUGGAUCCGCGCCGCAUUAGCUAGUUGGUAAGGUAACGGCUUACCAAGGCAACGAUGCGUAGACGACCUGAGAGGGUGAUCGGCCACACUGGAACUGAGACACGGUCCAGAGUCCUACGGGAGGCAGCAGUAGGGAAUCUUCCGCAAUGGGCGAAAGCCUGACGGAGCAACGCCGCGUGAGUGAUGAAGGUCUUCGGAUCGUAAAACUCUGUUAUUAGGGAAGAACAAAUGUGUAAGUAACUAUGCACGUCUUGACGGUACCUAAUCAGAAAGCCACGGCUAACUACGUG